UAGUCCACGCUGUAAACGAUGAGUGUUAGGUGUCUGGGAGAACCUGGGUGCCACAGCAAACGCAAUAAACACUCCGCCUGGGGAGUACGCACGCAAGUGUGAAACUCAAAGGAAUUGACGGGGACCCGCACAAGCAGCGGAGCAUGUGGUUUAAUUCGACGCAACGCGAAAAACCUUACCAGGGCUUGACAUAAAAGUGACGAGGGAUAGAGAUAUUCCUCUUCUCCUCGGAGACAGUUUUAC
rnacentral:rRNA from 1 species